rnacentral:misc_RNA from 1 species
UCCGACUUAACGUCGGCAGUCUCUCUAGAGUGCCCAACUAAAUGCUGGCAACUAAAGACAAGGGUUGCGCUCGUUACGGGACUUAACCCAACAUCUCACGACACGAGCUGACGACAGCCAUGCAGCACCUAUGCAGCGGCCCGAAGGCGACGACAUCUCUGCCGUCUUCCACUGCAUUUCGAACCCAGGUAAGGUUUUUCGCGUUGCAUCGAAUUAAACCACAUGCUCCACCGCUUGUGCGGGCCCCCGUCAAUUUCUUUGAGUUUUAACCUUGCGGCCGUACUUCCCAGGCGGGAUACUUAACGCGUUUGCUUCGGCACUGAAGGGGUCAAUACCUCCAACACCAAGUAUCCAUCGUUUACGGUGCGGACUAC